GUUAUUUACAAUUUUGUGUUUGAAUGGAUAAACCCAUUGCCUACGUAUCACCUUAAAAGGGUAGGAUCAAAACCUCGUAGUUCGGGGUAAAAAUCUCAAAAGAAGUUGGUGAAUUGAUUGGUCAAAAUCCUUAAGGUCUUUUGUUAUCAAAGGGAUAAAACUCAACCCAAAACCACAAAUCCACCAUGUGAGGAGAGCUUCAACAUGCUAAUGAGAGGUUAAC
rnacentral:lncRNA from 1 species